ACAAAAAUGUAAGUAUGUGUGUAGUGGGAGAAGCUGUUAAACAUUUAAUAUAAUUGUGUGUCAUUCUAGGUGACAGAGGGACACUCUAGAGGACAGAGGAGAUCUCCAAGGACAGCCGAUGUCGCAAGAGAGGAGAAUAGUGACAGUGGUUCCAAAGAAUAAAGACAAACACCGCUGCUACUCUGAAACCAGAGAUAUUACUCUUCUGUAGCUGAUCCUGCGGCUUUUGGAACAAGAAAAUUAUUGCUAUUCUAUUUGUUCGCAGUCAAACAAAUUGUAUAUACUCUGAAGAUCCUCGGUAAUUGCACUGCAAUAUGAGCAAGAGAGAGAACAAGUGGCACACCCAAUGUGAGCUAGCAGGAAUAACUACAGAUUUCAUGGUUGUGACAUCACCACCAGGGUCAUUAAGUAAGAUAUGACAACUACAAGCCCCAAAAUUCACCAGUUCCAUUCUCCAGAAGCUUACUGCAUAAUUUAGACAGAGAUCACAACAAAUAAUGAAGGCCGACUAUGAUCUUCCAGAAGAACAUUCAAUAUUGAUCUGAAGACAUCAAGAGAUGGAGAAUCCACCCUUCCCUUGGUAGU